AGAGUUUGAUCCUGGCUCAGAAUGAACGCUGGCGGCGUGCUUAACACAUGCAAGUCGAACGGUAACAGAGAGUAGCUUGCUACUUUGCUGACGAGUGGCGCACGGGUGAGUAAUAUAUAGAUAAUGUGCCUCUUAGUCUAGGAUAGCCAUUGGAAACGAUGAUUAAUACUGGAUACUCCUUCUUAUCAAAAGAUAAGUCGGGAAAGUUUUUCGCUAAGAGAUCGGUCUAUAUCCCAUCAGCUUGUUGGUGGUGUAAGAGACUACCAAGGCAAUGACGGGUAGCGGGUUUGAGAGGAUGAUCCGCCACACUGGUACUGAGACACGGACCAGACUCCUACGGGAGGCAGCAGUGAGGAAUAUUGCACAAUGGGGGAAACCCUGAUGCAGCAACGCCGCGUGGAGGAUGACGCAUUUCGGUGUGUAAACUCCUUUUAUAUGUCAAGAAAAUGACGGUAGCAUAUGAAUAAGCACCGGCUAACUCCGUGCCAGCAGCCGCGGUAAUACGGAGGGUGCAAGCGUUAUUCGGAAUCACUGGGCGUAAAGGACGCGUAGGCGGGUUGGCAAGUCAGAUGUGAAAUCCUACAGCUUAACUGUAGAACUGCAUUUGAAACUGCUAACCUAGAGUAUGGGAGGGGGAGAUGGAAUUAGUGGUGUAGGGGUAAAAUCCGUAGAUAUCACUAGGAAUACCGAAAG
rnacentral:rRNA from 1 species